UAAGGAAUAUUGGUCAAUGGGCGCAAGCCUGAACCAGCCAUGCCGCGUGCAGGAAGACGGCCCUACGGGUUGUAAACUGCUUUUAUACCGGAAUAAACCUUGAUACGUGUAUCGAGCUGAAUGUACGGUAAGAAUAAGGAUCGGCUAACUUCGUUCCAGCAGCCGCGGUAAUACGGAGGAUCCAAGCGUUAUCCGGAUUUAUUGGGUUUAAAGGGUGCGUAGGUGGCCUGUUAAGUCAGGGGUGAAAGACGGUAGCUUAACUAUCGCAGUGCCUUUGAUACUGACGGGCUUGAAUACACUAGAGGUAGGCGGAAUGUGACAAGUAGCGGUGAAAUGCAUAGAUAUGUCACAGAACACCAAUUGCGAAGGCAGCUUACUAUGGUGUCAUUGACACUGAGGCACGAAAGCGUGGGGAUCAAAC
rnacentral:rRNA from 1 species